GUUUGAUCAUGGCUCAGGAUGAACGCUGGCGGCGUGCCUAACACAUGCAAGUCGAGCGAGAUGUAUAUGGACGAAACUUCGGUCUAGGAAAUAUAUUGACAGCGGCGGACGGGUGAGUAACGCGUAGGCAACCUGCCCUUAACACAGGGAUAGCCUCGGGAAACCGGGAUUAAAACCUGAUAAUGCCAAAUAGUCACAUGGCUGUUUGGCCAAAGAUUUAUCGGUUAAGGAUGGGCCUGCGUCUGAUUAGUUUGUUGGUGGGGUAACGGCCUACCAAGACUACGAUCAGUAGCCGACCUGAGAGGGUGAUCGGCCACAUUGGAACUGAGACACGGUCCAAACUCCUACGGGAGGCAGCAGUGGGGAAUAUUGCACAAUGGGCGAAAGCCUGAUGCAGCAACGCCGCGUGAGCGAUGAAGGCCUUUGGGUCGUAAAGCUCUGUCCUUGGGGAAGAAAAAAAUGACGGUACCCAAGGAGGAAGCCCCGGCUAACUACGUG
rnacentral:rRNA from 1 species